UGUUCUGUAGCUUAGUUGGUUAAAGCGCCGGUCUAGCGUACACGGAGUCGUGAGUUCGAGUCUCAAUAGAACGC
rnacentral:tRNA from 1 species